AACGAACGCUGGCGGCAUGCCUAACACAUGCAAGUCGAACGAGAUCUUCGGGUCUAGUGGCGCACGGGUGCGUAACGCGUGGGAAUCUGCCCUUUGGUUCGGAAUAACAGUUGGAAACGACUGCUAAUACCGGAUGAUGACGAAAGUCCAAAGAUUUAUCGCCAGAGGAUGAGCCCGCGUAGGAUUAGCUAGUUGGUGUGGUAAAGGCGCACCAAGGCGACGAUCCUUAGCUGGUCUGGGAGGAUGAUCAGCCACACUGGGACUGAGACACGGCCCAGACUCCUACGGGAGGCAGCAGUGGGGAAUAUUGGACAAUGGGCGAAAGCCUGAUCCAGCAAUGCCGCGUGAGUGAUGAAGGCCUUAGGGUUGUAAAGCUCUUUUACCCGGGAUGAUAAUGACAGUACCGGGAGUAUAAGCUCCGGUUAACUCCGUGCCAGCCGCCGCCGUAA
rnacentral:rRNA from 1 species